rnacentral:rRNA from 1 species
UGGGGAAUAUUGCGCAAUGGGCGAAAGCCUGACGCAGCGACGCCGCGUGGAGGAUGAAGGUCUUCGGAUUGUAAACUCCUGUCAGAUGGGAAGAAAAGAUUUGUUUUUAAUAGAGAUAAAUUAUGACGGUACCAUCAGAGGAAGCACCGGCUAACUUCGUGCCAGCAGCCGCGGUAAUACGAAGGGUGCGAGCGUUAUUCGGAAUCACUGGGCGUAAAGGGUGCGUAGACGGUAUGUUAAGUUUGUCGUUAAAGACUCUAGCCUAACUGGAGGGUUGCGAUGAAAACUGGCGUACUAGAGGGUGAGAGAGAGAAGUGGAAUUCCUGGAGUAGCGGUAAAAUGCGUGGAUCUCAGGAGGAACACCAAUGGCGAAGGCAGCUUCUUGGCUCAUUCCUGACGUUGAGGCACGAAAGCGUGGGGAGCAAACAGG